rnacentral:rRNA from 1 species
AUGAACGCUAGCUACAGGCUUAACACAUGCAAGUCGAGGGGCAUCAGGAAGAAAGCUUGCUUUCUUUGCUGGCGACCGGCGCACGGGUGAGUAACACGUAUCCAACCUGCCCUUUACUCGGGGAUAGCCUUUCGAAAGAAAGAUUAAUACCCGAUGGCAUAAUGAUUCCGCAUGGUUUCAUUAUUAAAGGAUUCCGGUAAAGGAUGGGGAUGCGUUCCAUUAGGUUGUUGGUGAGGUAACGGCUCACCAAGCCUUCGAUGGAUAGGGGUUCUGAGAGGAAGGUCCCCCACAUUGGAACUGAGACACGGUCCAAACUCCUACGGGAGGCAGCAGUGAGGAAUAUUGGUCAAUGGGCGCUAGCCUGAACCAGCCAAGUAGCGUGAAGGAUGAAGGCUCUAUGGGUCGUAAACUUCUUUUAUAUAAGAAUAAAGUGCAGUAUGUAUACUGUUUUGUAUGUAUUAUAUGAAUAAGGAUCGGCUAACUCCGUGCCAGCAGCCGCGGUAAUACGGAGGAUCCGAGCGUUAUCCGGAUUUAUUGGGUUUAAAGGGAGCGUAGGUGGACUGGUAAGUCAGUUGUGAAAGUUUGCGGCUCAACCGUAAAAUUGCAGUUGAUACUGUCAGUCUUGAGUACAGUAGAGGUGGGCGGAAUUCGUGGUGUAGCGGUGAAAUGCUUAGAUAUCACGAAGAACUCCGAUUGCGAAGGCAGCUCACUGGACUGCAACUGACACUGAUGCUCGAAAGUGUGGGUAUCAAACAGGAUUAGAUACCCUGGUAGUCCACACAGUAAACGAUGAAUACUCGCUGUUUGCGAUAUACAGUAAGCGGCCAAGCGAAAGCAUUAAGUAUUCCACCUGGGGAGUACGCCGGCAACGGUGAAACUCAAAGGAAUUGACGGGGACCCGCACAAGCGGUGGAGCAUGUGGUUUAAUUCGAAGCAACGCGAAGAACCUUACCAGGUCUUGACAUCGUAUGCAUAGCUCAGAGAUGAGUGAAAUCUCUUCGGAGACAUAUAGACAGGUGGUGCAUGGUUGUCGUCAGCUCGUGCCGUGAGGUGUCGGCUUAAGUGCCAUAACGAGCGCAACCCUUAUCUUUAGUUACUAACAGGUUAUGCUGAGGACUCUAGAGAGACUGCCGUCGUAAGAUGUGAGGAAGGUGGGGAUGACGUCAAAUCAGCACGGCCCUUACGUCCGGGGCUACACACGUGUUACAAUGGGGGGUACAGAAGGCAGCUAGCGGGUGACCGUAUGCUAAUCCCAAAAGCCUCUCUCAGUUCGGAUCGAAGUCUGCAACCCGACUUCGUGAAGCUGGAUUCGCUAGUAAUCGCGCAUCAGCCACGGCGCGGUGAAUACGUUCCCGGGCCUUGUACACACCGCCCGUCAAGCCAUGGGAGCCGGGGGUACCUGAAGUACGUAACCGCAAGGAUCGUCCUAGGGUAAAACUGGUGACUGGGGCU